rnacentral:rRNA from 1 species
GAUCCUGACUCAGGACGAACGCUGGCGGCGCGCCUAACACAUGCAAGUCGAACGAGAGAUGAAGAGCUUGCUCUUCAAAUCGAGUGGCGAACGGGUGAGUAACGCGUGAGGAACCUGCCUCAAAGAGGGGGACAACAGUUGGAAACGACUGCUAAUACCGCAUAAGCCCACGGCUCGGCAUCGAGCAGAGGGAAAAGGAGCAAUCCGCUUUGAGAUGGCCUCGCGUCCGAUUAG